rnacentral:misc_RNA from 1 species
UCCAGUUUAACACUGGCAGUCUCUCCGAAGUUCCCAACUUAAUGCUGGCAAUAGGAGACGAGGGUUGCGCUCGUUACGGGACUUAACCCAACAUCUCACGACACGAGCUGACGACAGCCAUGCAGCACCUGUCUCUUCGUUCCCUUGCGGGCACCAUCCUAUCUCUAGGACGUUCGAAGGAUGUCAAACCCAGGAUAAGGUUCUUCGCGUUGCAUCGAAUUAAACCACAUGCUCCACCGCUUGUGCGGGUCCCCGUCAAUUUCUUUGAGUUUUAAUCUUGCGACCGUACUUCCCAGGCGGGAUACUUAACGCGUUAGCUACGACACGGAAGGGGUUAAUGCCUCCCACAUCAAGUAUCCAUCGUUUACAGCGUGGACUAC